AGAGUAUGUCGUGAUUACAACAGAGAGACAUUCGGAUGGAUACGGGCAAUCAUGAUAAGGCAAUAGAGGAAACGUGACUUUGACAGCCCUCAAAUAAAAAUCCGUGGUGUUGAAUUUUAUACAAAAACGUUUAUUUAAAAUCCAACCGACUAUACUCAAAGAAGUAACAAAAGCGAAUAACAUGAAAGUAAUGUUCAAGGCGUACUUAAUAAGGGACCGCCUCGGCGAAUUGCUACAACAAAGCAUCUUUUGGGAACUUGAUAUGUCAAAAUUUGUAAACAGGGUGAAGAAUUUUCGGCAAAUUGGUUUCGAGCAAUCAGAGCAAGAAGAAAGAAGUUGAUUGAUUUUGGAGUGUCAAGAAAACACAUAUUUAAAAAUGUUCAAAAUAUCAAUUAGCUCCAGAGGCUGAAACAUUGAGGUCCGAUGUGUGUGGUGUUGAUUGAUGUCACGAGAAGCUUAGCAGCGAGCUACCGGGCGCAUCCAAAGAUUGCAGAUAGUGGUAUACUCCAUACGGAGUAGCUGUAAUGGCAGUCGCGGACAAACAGCGGUAUUGAGCGGUCACUGUCUAAUUGAAAUCCAUUGUGAUAGGCUAAUGGCUGCAAGUAACGACUUCUGCAGAAGCUGUAAUAACGUCGAGGAAGCGGAAACAGAACAACAUCUGCUGUGUGCAUAUAAGGACUCCUUUGAAUAAGCGGAUGUGGGCAUUCGCAAGUAAAGCGAUCUGGCUGGCCUAAAGUGUUUAAAUGAGUCUUAUUUACGACUGCCACUUAAACUUGUUCUACCAUCUUCAGCAAGGCUAGUCUCUCUUGUAAUUUUACGAUGACCAAAUAUAUACAUACAUUCACAGGGCCACAUAAACAAUAUACGUUAAACAAACCGACAUGUAUAAAUGAAAAAUUUUUUCCUAAAAAUAUUUAAUGUCAAUGUCGUUAUAAUUACUCUCUUCGGUUGCUAGUAUUAUAAUAAGUUACAAUUUAUUUGUGAAAAUCU